rnacentral:rRNA from 1 species
CCUCCGGGGGGCUGCAGUGGGGAAUAUUGCACAAUGGGCGCAAGCCUGAUGCAGCCAUGCCGCGUGUAUGAAGCAGGCCUUCGGGUUGUAAAGUACUUUCAGUCGUGCGGAAGGUGUUAAGGUUAAUAACCUUAGCAAUUGCCGUUAGCGACAGAAGAAGAACCGGCUAACUCCGUGCCAGCAGCCCCGGUAAUACGGCGGGUGCGAGCGUUAAUCGGAAUUACUGGGCGUAAAGGGAACGCAGGCGGUUAAUUAAGUUGUGUGUGAAAACCCCGGGCUUAACCUGGGAAUGGCAUUCAAGACUGGUUAGCUAGAGUCGUGUAGAGGGUGGUAGAAUUCCAUGUGUAGCGGUGAAAUGCGUAGAGAUGUGGAUGAAUACCGGUGGCGAAGGCGGCCCCCUGGACAAAGACUGACGCGCAGGUGCGAAAGCGUGGGGAGCAAACAGGAUUAGAUACCCUGGUAGUC